GCUUUCUGCUGUGACAGAGCAGCACUGAGUUCAAUGCCAUGUCUCAGAAUUUCUGUGUUCUCCCUCUCCUGGGUGCACAGAUUCUCCAUGCUGUGAGGCUGAUGCCAGGGAAUGGGCAAGGGGUGGCAAUAGCCAUUUCUACCAUCUGUAAUGCCUCUUUCAGCAUUAUGAAUUCAAAACCAGGUCAGGAUGAGAGACACAGUCACCAUUUCAAAAUGUGUCCAGCACGUUUUCCAUAACAAAGACCUAACCUCCAAGGGAAUGAACUGUACCAGAGCCUUUUCCUACCUGGGGAAACUGUGAUUAGGCAGCUCCCAUCCAUCUCAGCAUCCUGAAUUAGAUAACAGGAAACAAAUAAAGGAUAAGAAUGAAUUCUGAAGGUUACAGUCCAGGAGCUCAGCCCACUAAAGAACUUAAACGUAAUCAUAAAAUUAUGGAACACUUCCUCUCCUCCACAAAUUACCACCACAUCUACAGGGGUCCACGGCCAGGACAGUGGGUGACAACUUAAAGAGCUGCCAGCUCACAUUCCAUUUAAGAAGGAGUUAUUUAGGGAACCAUAAAGGAAGAGAGGAGAAAUAAACAAGGACUAUUGAGGAAAGACACUUUUUCUGGCACCGAAAACUACAGCAAAUGUUAAACACAUAUCUGUUUCUAGCCGGAUAACAAAAAGCUUCAUACUAAAGGCCUAUUUACAUCACUUCCAAUUACCUUAUAUAUCUUGUGUGGUUUUCAACAGAAAAGUACAAGAAAUGUUAAAAGGCAGGAAAAAAACACAGCCUAAAGAGAAAAAGCAAUCAUCAGACCCAGAAUCUGAUAUGACACAGAAUGGAAUUAUCAGCCAUGGAAUAUAAAUAACUGUGAUUAAUAUGUUAAGG
rnacentral:lncRNA from 10 species